GCGAAGAUGCGCGAGAAGGUGUGGGGGCGCGGGGGCACCGUGGCGCGCGCCGGCGUGGGACGGGGACAGCGGGCGCGCGCGAGCCCGGCAAGGGCAGCCGGCGGCGCGCGGGCCCAAGGGGACUGGGCAGUGCCCAGAGCCCGGCGGGGCGGGGCGCGACGGGUAAGGGCGGCCCACACCCCCGCCCUACCCCCUCACCGUGGCCUUGGCUGUGAGCACUAACGCCUCCUGGUUGAUGCUGGACACCUCGGGGGAGCUCUUCAUGAUGACCCGGAUGCGGGAUAGAGGCAGCGAGAUGAGCCGCUGCUCCGCGCACUUGUCUUUGCCCACGACCACGUCCGCCAUCUUCCCGCCCCUCGCGCGGGCGGCAGCCGGCGGGCCCGACCGCGAAGUGGCUGCCCUGCCGGCCAGCCGGUGGGUGCGGGGAGCCGUGCCCGCUGCCCCGUGGGAGUUGUAGUGUGGGGAGGCGCCGCCGCGAGGCCUGGAGCGGCCCGUCCGGGAGACUACGAGCUCCGUGAUGCCUCGCGCGCCCCAUCUGCGCAUGCGCCCCCCCUCGGCCCACACCCCCCCGCCCCUCCCCCACCGAGUGUGUGACCCGACGUGGAGCCAGGAGCCCAGAGCCUAGUGAGGGGCGGGGACCGGGGCGUUGCGGGGCCGCGCCCUUCUCUGGAGUCUCUGGGCUGCGGUCGCGGACUACGACUUUGAUCCGGCUGUCAAAGAAGAACAGAACCGACCUGCAGGGCAGCGUGAGAACAGAGCCAGCCAGUGUGAAGAGGGGUCUCCAGAGCUUGGCGCAGAGCUCACAGCAGAGUUUUGCUGUUGUUGCCCAGGCUGGAGUGCACUGGUGCGAUCUCAGCCUUUC